AUAACGGUCCUUUUCAGGGCCAUCAAUAUUUACAAAAAGAAUCUA
rnacentral:ncRNA from 1 species